AGUCCUUAACUGACGCUAAUGCUCGAAAGUGCGGGUAUCGAACAGGAUUAGAUACCCUGGUAGUCCGCACGGUAAACGAUGGAUGCCCGCUGUUGGCGAUACACAGUCAGCGGCCAAGCGAAAGCGUUAAGCAUCCCACCUGGGGAGUACGCCGGCAACGGUGAAACUCAAAGGAAUUGACGGGGGCCCGCACAAGCGGAGGAACAUGUGGUUUAAUUCGAUGAUACGCGAGGAACCUUACCCGGGCUUGAACUGCAGGAGAACGAUUCAGAGAUGAUGAGGUCCUUCGGGACUCCUGUGGAGGUGCUGCAUGGUUGUCGUCAGCUCGUGCCGUGAGGUGUCGGCUUAAGUGCCAUAACGAGCGCAACCCCUUUCUUCAGUUGCCAUCAGGUCGAGCUGGGCACUCUGGAGACACUGCCACCGUAAGGUGUGAGGAAGGUGGGGAUGACGUCAAAUCAGCACGGCCCUUACGUCCGGGGCUACACACGUGUUACAAUGGGUGGUACAGAGAGCGGGCUGCCUGCAAAGUCAGCCGAAUCAUGAAAGCCAUCCUCAGUUCGGAUUGGGGUCUGCAACCCGACCCCAUGAAGCUGGAUUCGCU
rnacentral:rRNA from 1 species